AAUUGACCGGACUGUAAACUAAUUGUCUAUUCUGAAAAAAGAAAGACAAAACAACACAAGCUCAAGAGCACACACACAUAGCCUACGUUACUUAAACGAGUUAUUAAAGUUAUUUUCAGAUCGUGUCUUGAAAGCAGGAAAUACCAAGGGGAAUCAGUUAGUUGGCUAGCUAUAUUGUGUUUUUAAUUGACGGUCCAUAACUGUAUCUACUAAAGCUAUCAUCUGAGGAGAUCAAGUUUAUUUCUGAAGAAUUGGGGCGUGCACGGAGCUGAGAUUGACAGAACAGAAGAGAGCGCUCCAAAGUCGGGAUUUCAAACUCAGUGAACUCAGUCCUACAAACUGAACGCUUAAGGGGCGGGAUUUCUAUUCCAAAACAAUGUCUACUCACCUUUGAUAUUCUAGAAUUAUGGGCUCACGUUAGGAUACAGUCUUCUCGAACAAUUCUGUUGAGUAUGUGAUAAAUGUUUUGGGAUACGUACUCUACUUGAUUUAAUGAUAGAAUUUUAAUUGGCUAUUUUUCUGUCUUCAGCAGAGAAUGGGCAUAGCCCACUAUUUUUGCCACUUGUACCCGCCCCCUUUCCAUGUUGCGCACUUUCCUUGCUCGUACCCCUCGCUCCGAGUUCGAUGCAAAGGAUUUUAGUUUGCCCUAUUUAGCUGCUCUUGAGACACCUGCAGAAUCUCUUUGCAUUUAUCAGAACCCAGCCUUUGGUCUUGAGGCACAUGUUUCUUUGCAACUGUUUUUCUUGGUGGUUUACACAGCUAAGGGUAGCCGGCAUUAGACUCUCAGUCCUCUCACCCUCCUUGUCUGAUCCUGAAAGUACCUAAUGACAUGGCCGCCAACAGAGCAGACAGCACACUCCCACAGCCCCGUCGCCAUGGAGCCGAGGAGCAGCACGACAGACUGUGUGGUGCUCGGUGAGCUGAGGCGGCGUGUCCAGGAGGAGUGCCUGGCGUGGCGCUGUGGACGAGGAGGAGGAGGAGGAGGCCCCAUCUUCAUCCUGCACUACUUCCUCCCGGGGGCCCUCAUCACCCUUAAGCGCCGGACAGGGGAGGCAGUGCAAUUGGAGAGCUCCUGUCGUACUUCAUGGCUUGAGCAGGGCGGCUGUCGGGGAGUGGCCUGAUGACGAGGACUGGAGAUGCUGCAGCAGGACUUUGCCACCAGAACAAAGUUGGCUGUCCAGAAAGCGCUGCAAAGAGUUGGAGUCGUUGGAAUUCUUGCCUGUGCUUCUGUAAGUUUCUGCAAUAAUAUAAUCUGCUUUUUACCACCUGCAGCUGUCUUGGAUAAAUAUAAUGAAAGAUUCCUCCAGAUAAUGCUUCCGUAUUACACUAGUCAUAGGCUUUUCUUUACAAUUAACUUUAAAUGACAAGUUCUGUCAUCUUUCAAUUCUUUAUAGUUUUACUGACAUGAGUUGUGAUAUACGCAUUUAAAUUGUAUUUUUCCUUUACUGUGGAAACAAUAAAGAAUUACUGAUACACUGGUAAACUGAAUAG
rnacentral:lncRNA from 1 species